AUGCACUCUCCGAUGCAUCGCGCGACUUUGAGGCCAUCCCUUCGGCGUUGCCGGCUGCAACUGUCCCUCAAGCCAUGGUUCUCCAAAGAGUGGACGUUGUUGUGGCAGGCACCGACAUCCUCCAGACGGUUAACUCGCCCACGCUCAGAGUGCACGACUUAUCAGGCUGAGGUAUAUGAUCCACUACCAUCAUGGGAAAGAAAUGGUUUUAGUCCAGGGAACACUUUUGCCAUGUCUGGGCACACUCUAUAUUUAGUCAGGUGCUCUCUCUGUGCUAUUUUGGAUUCAAGAGUUAGGUGGAAACCAAGUGACGCACCUUUGAUUUGCAUUGGGUGUAGUCCAGGAAGGCUGAAUUAUGGACUGGACUACAAAGGGAACAUAUGUGGCAGCAAACAUGGCGAUCCAGAUUUGAGUGACCUGGACUCAAAACCUUCACCUGAUUAUCAUGUAGUCCAAAAUAUUGAACUAGGAAUGAGUACAGUGAGCUGUUAUGGGAUGCCAUGGGAUUCUGGAUUACCCGAGAGUUUCAUGAUUUGGUAUCCUGGAAUACAACUCCGUAUUUUUGUUAAUUACUCAUGCCUGGGUUGCUUAAGGAGUUGCACUGGCUAUGAAAAGGAUUAUAAUGCUGUAGGAAACCAGGAAGCCACAUAUUUGGUCAAGGCAGAGGCCAAGUUUACAUAUUACAUGGUGGCCUUACUAUUGCCAAUGAUGAAUUUUCUGCUAGAAAUUGUUCUGCAGUACUCGGUCGCACAAGAUUCACUGAUCAGUCAUUCUUAUGCUCAGUGCAAGAGGGCACACUUUUUUGUUGGCUAUGAACAAAUAAUGAGAUUCCUUCGCAUGCAAGAACAAGGAAAGGGUGUUGCGCUUAACAAUUCAUGUUCUGCAAUGCUGCCCUCAACGGCUCCAAUUACAUACUCACAUUUUCUUCCAGGGCCAUGGCAACCAGCAAAAGAGAGAUACGAGCACGCAAGUACAGCUCGCGGCGCCAUCGUCGAGCCGCCAUUGAGCGCCAUCAUGCUAUCGAACAGGGUUGUGGCUUGCAGUUAUAGUGUGAUGUGGUGUCUCGCUGAUGCGUCCUUGAGGCUCCUAAAGUGGUGGUCAGAUACCCAAUGUGUGCAACCAUCUAGUGCAAGUUUUGAAGCUCUUUUUUCUGCUGAACGAAGUAGCACUGGAAUCCCCGUGCAAGUCUGGGUUGUCCGUUCAGUUCUGAACCUAUUUUGGAGUAAGGCUGCACCUAGUUCUCUGUUGACAGAUUUUCCAGUUGUGGGACAUCAAUUGAAGUCCAUAUGGGGAGCAGAGUGUGUACCUUGUUGUGUCUUGGAAAAAUCUAUCAAAGAAGAGAAGUCAGAGAAGCUCUUUCAUAUUUGUGCAGCAGCUAAUCUGGCCAUGAGAUUAUGUUGGGCAGAAACGAAACCGUUUACCCAAGUCUGCCGUCAAUUUAUUCUGUAUCCACACGACACAUUGAAGAACGAGCCAACUUAUAGUGCUAUCAUUGCAUCUUGUAAUGGAUACAAUCCGAGUUACGCUUCUGUUUUUAACUGGAGGUUUGGUGCCAGCGGUGUUUUUCGCUAUGAUUCUGCUUGGUGUCAGUGGAAAGUUGCAUGGCCAUCCAGUCUAGGAUUGGGAGGCAACAAGUUCAAACUAUCACACGUUGGCAAAACCGGUGCAAGGAACAAUAUCUUGGUCAGAAUUAUGAACCAUUUGACAUACUCUAUUGAGGAUCUGCUCGGUGGUUCACAUGUGGCUUGGUACUUGAGUUUUGUUCUGUUUGACAUGGUGAAGAUCUGGAAAGUUCUGCCAUCUCUGCAGCCAAAGGUGACAUGGUUCUUAUCUUCUCAAGUAAUUUUACAGGAAGUGGUCGUUGUAAUUUCUCCUGUAAGAAAAUUGUGCUCCUCCUACGAGAAAGCAGUGUUACUUUUUGUUCAUCAUGUAUUGAAGAAAAUUGAGUUAUGGCAAUGGAGAGCUAGUCCUGGACAAUGGGAACUGCACAUGUGUGACAGGUUGCAUACAAUUGCUGUUGUUGAAGGCAUUACAAGCAGCAUGUUUAUUGCAAGCCUACUAGAGCAUUUGUCCAGUUAUGAGGAGCUAGGAUAUACCUCUGAUGGCCAGUUGUCGAAUGUUCCCUAUGACCUGGUGCAGAUUGGCUUGCUUGCUAGGUUUACUACUCCUACAGUAUUCCUGGGAGAUACUUUGCUGAAUUUCUAUUGGUGUUGUUCGUCAGCAUUGGUAGCUACGACCUAUUGUUUACUUUACAAUAAGAGGUCCUCAUUUUUAGGAGCUGAAUUGAUUGCCUACUCACGCAUUUUAGAGUUCAAUCAAGCACAUUUCUUUGUGAGACCAUGGGAUCCUGGCAUUUUACAUUUUCUCUCUCGAACUGAGGUCAUAAUUAUCAGGAAAAGAAAUAGGUGUUAUUCUGGUGGACUAGCACAUAGUCAGAAGUCUGGUAUUGAGCAAGACUGCAAUUUGUUCCAUCAGAUGCUGGUUAACGUGAGUCCCACAACAUGUCCAAGUCUAAGAAGUUUCCGUUGCCAACAGUCAGCAAUUCUUUUCGAUGGUCAUGCUAUUCUGGUGACUUCAUGGUUUGUAGUUGCCGAAGCCAGCUUCACUAGAGUAUUGCGCUUGAGACAAGCACAAUUUCAACGGCGGGGAAGUGUCAUGUCCUGGGUACAUGACCCGUCAGUCUGUAGACUUGGUGUAUAA
rnacentral:rRNA from 1 species